AAUGCGCAUGUGCGGCAAGUGCCACUUGCACAUUCAAAGUGUCCAUAGGAAAGCAUUUCUCAAUACUUUCCUAUGGACGCUCUGCGCGAUGGAGGCGUAAUUCGCCUCCAGCGUCGCAGAUGCGCCUCUAGUGGCUGUCCGGAAGACAGCCACUAGAGGCUGGAUUAACCCGAAAUGUAAACAUAGCAGUUUCUCUGAAACUGCUAUGUUUGCAUCUGAAGGGUUAAAACCUGAGGGACCUGGCACCCAGACCACUUCAUUGAGCUGAAGUGGUCUGGGUGACUAUAGUGUCCCUUUAAGGCACAUCAACCAGUCCAGGAUUUAGGGAUUACCCAGUGUGUCAAGGUGUUUUUUUUUCAUUUCUAAAAACACCUUAGACACAACUGGGUAAUCCCUAAAUCCUGAACAGGUAGGUGUACCUUGAGGACUGGUUUGGAACCCACUGUUAUAAACUGUCUCAUAGAUUCUCCAUCUCUCCUCC